rnacentral:rRNA from 1 species
AUUGAACGCUGGCGGCAUGCUUUACACAUGCAAGUCGAACGGUAACAGGGUGCUUGCACCGCUGACGAGUGGCGAACGGGUGAGUAAUGCGUCGGAACGUGCCGAGUAGUGGGGGAUAACGCAGCGAAAGUUGUGCUAAUACCGCAUACGUACUGAGGUAGAAAGUGGGGGACCUUCGGGCCUCACGCUAUUCGAGCGGCCGACGUCUGAUUAGCUAGUAGGUGAGGUAAAGGCUCACCUAGGCGACGAUCAGUAGCGGGUCUGGGAGGAUGAUCCGCCACACUGGGACGGAAGCACGGCCCAGACUUCUACGGGAGGAAGUAGUGGGGAAUAUUGGACCAGGGGGGGAACCCUGAUCCAGCCAUGCCGCGUGUGUGAAGAAGGCCGUAUGGUUGUAAAGCACUUUAAGCGAGGAGGAGGCUCUUUUGGUUAAUACCCAAGAUGAGUUGACGUUACUCGCAGAAUAAGCACCGGCUAACUCUGUGCCAGCAGCCGCCGCUG